rnacentral:sRNA from 1 species
AAGUAAACUCCCCAAUUACAAACAACUCUGUCAUUUGCAUAUUGUGCGUUGAGUGCAGGUGAGAAGCUGCGUUCAGGUUCGAGCUGAGCGAAGCGAGACAGCGUUGCGCUUGCCGCAACGACCCGAAGGGCGAGGGCAGAGCCCGAGUCAUCCUGCACGACCCACCA